CAAGUGGAGUGUAUAGAGCACCUGUGGCAAGUGGGGUUUAUAGAGCACCUGUGGCAAGUGGAGUGUAUAGAGCACCUGUGGCAAGUGGAGUGUAUAGAGCACCUGUGGCAGGUGGGGGUUUAUAGAGCACCUGUGGCAAGUGGAGUGUAUAGAGCACCUGUGGCAGGUGGGGUUUAUAGAGCACCUGUGGCAAGUGGGGUUUAUAGAGCACCUGUGGCAAGUGGGGUUUAUAGAGCACCUGUGGCAAGUGGAGUGUAUAGAGCACCUGUGGCAGGUGGGGUUUAUAGAGCACCUGUGGCAGGUGGCUUGGAG
ensembl:lncRNA